GACGAACGCUGGCGGCGUGCUUAACACAUGCAAGUCGAACGGAAAGGCCCUGCUUUUGUGGGGUGCUCGAGUGGCGAACGGGUGAGUAACACGUGAGUAACCUGCCCUUGACUUUGGGAUAACUUCAGGAAACUGGGGCUAAUACCGGAUAGGAGCUCCUGCUGCAUGGUGGGGGUUGGAAAGUUUCGGCGGUUGGGGCUGUACUCGCGGCUUAUCAGCUUGUUUGUGGGGUAGUGGCUUACCAAGGUUUUGACGGGUAGCCUGCCUGGGAGGGUGACCGGCCACAAUGGGACUACGAUACGGCCCAGACUCCAAUGGGAGGCAGCAGUGGAGAGUAUUGCGCAAUGGGCGGAAGCCUGAUGCAGCAACGCCGCGUGCGGGAUGACGGCCUUCGGGUUGUAAACCGCUUUCGCCUGUGACGAAGCGUGAGUGACGGUAAUGGGUAAAGAAGCACCGGCUAACUACGUG
rnacentral:rRNA from 1 species